AUUGAACGCUGGCGGCAUGCCUAACACAUGCAAGUCGAACGAGUCGCGGACGGGUGAGCUAUGUCUUGGAAACUGCAUGAUGGAGCGGGAUCACUACUGUAAACGUUAGCUAAUACCGCAUACCUUCCCAUGUGCCAAUUUGGGAUUAACUAGUUGGUGGGGUAACGGCUCACCAAGGCGACGAUCCCUAGCAGGUCUGAGAGGAUGACCAGCCACACUGGAACUGAGACACGGCCCAGACUCAUACGGGAGGCAGCAGUAGGGAAUAGUGCGCAAUGGGCGCAAGCCUGAGGCAGCCAGGCCGAGUGUAUGAAGAAGGCGUUCGGUGUGUAAAGUGCUUUCAUCAGGGAGGCGUUACCAACAGAAGAAGCAACGGCUAACUCCGUGCCAGCAGCCGCGGUAAUAC
rnacentral:rRNA from 1 species